GCUCAACUAGGAUGUAUGGAGCUCUUGUAAUGAAACACUUUGGGGCUGGAGAGAUGGCUCAGCCAUUAAAGGCUAGGCUCACACCGAAAAUCUA
rnacentral:miRNA from 1 species